GACGAACGCUGGCGGCGUGCUUAACACAUGCAAGUCGAACGGGAUCCGGGCUUUCGGGUUUGGUGAGAGUGGCGAACGGGUGAGUAACACGUGAGUAACCUGCCCCCUUCUUUGGGAUAACGUCGGGAAAUCGGCGCUAAUACUGGAUAUUCUUGCUGCAUCGCAUGGUGUGGUUUGGAAAGGGUUUCUGGUGGGGGAUAGGCUCGCGGCCUAUCAGCUUGUUGGUGGGGUGAUGGCCUACCAAGGCUUUGACGGGUAGCCGGCCUGAGAGGGUGUCCGGCCACACUGGGACUGAGACACGGCCCAGACUCCUACGGGAGGCAGCAGUGGGGAAUAUUACACAAUGGGCGCAAGCCUGAUGCAGCGACGCCGCGUGAGGGAUGACGGCCUUCGGGUUGUAAACCUCUUUCAGUAUGGAACAAGGAUCCUUCUUUUGGGGGGUUUGAGGGUACGUGCAGAAGAAGCGCCGGCUAACUACGUG
rnacentral:rRNA from 1 species